UGGAGGCAGCAGUGAGGAAUCUUCCGCAAUGGACGAAAGUCUGACGGAGCAACGCCGCGUGAGUGAAGAAGGUUUUCGGAUCGUAAAGCUCUGUCUUCAGGGACGAAUGUAUAACUUGUGAAUAAUGAGUUAUAAUGACGGUACCUGAGGAGGAAGCCACGGCUAACUACGUGCCAGCAGCCGCGGUAAUACGUAGGUGGCAAGCGUUGUCCGGAAUUAUUGGGCGUAAAGCGCGCGCAGGCGGGAAUAUAAGUCUAACUUAAAAGUGCGGGGCUCAACCUCGUGAGGGGUUAGAAACUAUAUUUCUUGAGUACAGGAGAGGAAAGUGGAAUUCCCAGUGUAGCGGUGAAAUGCGUAGAGAUUGGGAGGAACACCAGUGGCGAAGGCGGCUUUCUGGACUGUGUCUGACGCUGAGGCGCGAAAGCCAGGGUAGUGAACGGGAUUAGAAACCCGGGUAGUCCC
rnacentral:rRNA from 1 species